CUCUAUUUAAGCUUCUUACCUUCCUUGGAUCUGGAUGUGAUCCUGGGACAGCUCCCUCCAUACAUACAUUAGGAUGGAGCCUAUGUGUCUUCCGGUCGUCUCCUCCCCCCUAUGGUCCACACUUGUGACUCCUUGUAAGCCCGGUUUGGUGGGUUCCCGUCAAGCGGAACGGGGGUUUCUCUUGCUAUGGGGGUCUUCGGAUCAUUUUUACUUCUCAGCAAUCAUCUCUGAUUACAUAUUAAUUCAUUAACCCUUGAGUGAGUACAAUUCCCCUGAAGAAGACCGUGACAGUUUAGGUCGAAACGCGUCGGGGUACUCAUAUGGAAACAAUUGAAUCAUGAUGUAACGUG